GGGAGGAGGGAUUAUUUUUUAGGCUGAAACUAAUGAGUUCUACACACUGAUGCUGCGAUGUUAACUUCCACUCCUUUCUCAUUCGCCGUCCUCCCCUUCUGCAGCUUUGAAGGGCUGUGAAAUGCAGACCCAAGUUCCCACUGCACAAAAGAAGGCUCUGACCCAGGAACUCCUUCCCAGAAGGUUGAGGAAUGUCAUGUGGUUGCAGGAGGAAAUGCGCUAGACCUGGAGUCAGAGGAGGUGAAACCCAGAGGUGGUAAAAAUGCCCAGGUAUGUUUGAGGCAGCAGAGAAGACUGCCGGGAGAGUGGAGAAGGCUGAAGUCUUACUUAAGAAACUCAGCAUGUGGUCCUGUCCCACACGGUUUAGGCAGCAGCAAGCUGCUGUUGGACAGGUGAGUGCCUCACUUUGCCUCACCCUGAUCCCAGGCCUGCCACGAAGCAUCAGAAUCACUCAAGGGUCUGGCCCGGUGGUGCAGUGGUUAAGUGUGCACGUUCCACUUCGGCAGCUGGGGGUU